rnacentral:rRNA from 1 species
AUUGAACGCUGGCGGCAUGCCUUACACAUGCAAGUCGAACGGUAACGCGGGGCAACCUGGCGACGAGUGGCGAACGGGUGAGUAAUGCAUCGGAACGUACCCAGUAGUGGGGGAUAGCCCGGCGAAAGCCGGAUUAAUACCGCAUACGACCUACGGGUGAAAGGGGGGGAUCGCAAGACCUCUCGCUAUUGGAGCGGCCGAUGUCAGAUUAGGUAGUUGGUGGGGUAAAAGCCUACCAAGCCUGUGAUCUGUAGCUGGUCUGAGAGGACGACCAGCCACGCUGGGACUGAGACACGGCCCAGACUCCUACGGGAGGCAGCAGUGGGGAAUUUUGGACAAUGGGCGCAAGCCUGAUCCAGCAAUGCCGCGUGCGGGAAGAAGGCCU